GAUGAACGCUGACAGAAUGCUUAACACAUCAGCAAUUGAUUGGUGGCGGACGGGUGAGUAACGCGUAAAGAACUUACCUCACAGUUAGGGACAACAUUUGGAAACGAAUGCUAAUACAUAAUACUGUGAGAGAGCUUUGCGUCCCAUUAGCUAGUUGGAGAGGUAACGGAUCAGCAAGGCGAUGAUGGGUAGCCGGCCUGAGAGGGUGAUCGGCCAGAAGGGGACUGAGACACGGCCCUUACUCCUACGGGAGGCAGCAGUGGGGAAUAUUGGACAAUGGACCAAAGUCUGAUCCAGCAAUUCUGUGUGCACGAUGAAGUUUUCGGAAUGUAAAGUUCUUUCAGUUGGGAAGCGGUAACAACAGAAUGAGUGACGGCUCCCUCCGUGGCAGCAGGCGCGGUAAUAC
rnacentral:rRNA from 1 species